UGUAAGCGUAUACCAAAGUUGUUGCAGUUAAAACGCUCGUAGUCGGAAUUUGGCAGUUCCGGAUGUGUGCACGUCGUGUGCGCACUUCGCGGGGAUUGCUUUUGUGGUCUUGCGUAGGAUGAGGCACUUUUAUUAGUGAACGUCCUCACGCAACCACUUUUUACUGUGAGAAAAUCAGAGUGCUCAAAGCAGGCAUUUGCCGUGAAUGUAUUAGCAUGGAAUAAUAGAAUAGGACUUGGUUCUAUUUUGUUGGUUUGUUGGGACUGAGUAAUGAUUAAGAGGGACAGUUGGGGGCAUUUGUAUUGCGGUGCUAGAGGUGAAAUUCUUAGAUUACCGAAAGACAAACUGCUGCGAAAGCGUCUGCCAAGGAUGUUUUCAUUGA
rnacentral:rRNA from 1 species